rnacentral:rRNA from 1 species
AUGCCGGACGGGGUAAAUGACACGGCUAUCAUUCUUAUCCUGAAAGUUCCACACCCAAAGGAGCUCAAGGAUUUUAGACCGAUUAGUUUAUGUAACGUAUUGUACAAAAUUGUCUCAAAGUGUCUCACCAACCGGCUUCGGCCUAUACUUGGAGAUCUGAUUAGUGAAAAUCAAAGUGCCUUUAUUCCCGGUCGUCUGAUUUCUGACAAUUCUAUCAUUGCCUUUGAGUGCAUACAUCAUAUACAGUCACUGAGGCAAAACAGACCGGCGGAGUGCGCCUACAAACUUGAUCUUUCAAAGGCCUACGACCGCGUGGAUUGGGAGUUUUUGGAGCAAGCCCUGCGUAAAUGGGGCUUUGCAGAUGAGUGGAUCGCAUGGAUUAUGGCGUGUGUGAAAUCGAUUAAAUAUUCGGUGAAGCUCAACGGGAGAAUACUAGAAUCAUUUACCCCUUCUAGGGGCUUGAGGCAAGGUGAUCCACUGUCCCCUUUCUUAUUCUUAUUUGUUGCUGAUGCUCUGUCAUCUCUGAUCUCAAAUUCAGUUAACAAUGGGGACUUGAGAGGGGUAUCCAUUUGCCGGGGUGCACCGGUGAUUUCUCAUUUACUGUUUGCGGAUGACACCAUGUUACUCUUUGAAGCGUCAGCCCAGUAG